GCAGUCGAGCGAGCUUGCCUAGAUGAAUUUGGUGCUUGCACCAAAUGAAACUAGAUACAAGCGAGCGGCGGACGGGUGAGUAACACGUGGGUAACCUGCCCAAGAGACUGGGAUAACACCUGGAAACAGAUGCUAAUACCGGAUAACAACACUAGACGCAUGUCUAGAGUUUAAAAGAUGGUUCUGCUAUCACUCUUGGAUGGACCUGCGGUGCAUUAGCUAGUUGGUAAGGUAACGGCUUACCAAGGCAAUGAUGCAUAGCCGAGUUGAGAGACUGAUCGGCCACAUUGGGACUGAGACACGGCCCAAACUCCUACGGGAGGCAGCAGUAGGGAAUCUUCCACAAUGGACGCAAGUCUGAUGGAGCAACGCCGCGUGAGUGAAGAAGGGUUUCGGCUCGUAAAGCUCUGUUGGUAGUGAAGAAAGAUAGAGGUAGUAACUGGCCUUUAUUUGACGGUAAUUACUUAGAAAGUCACGGCUAACUACGUGCCAGCAGCCGCGGUAAUACGUAGGUGGCAAGCGUUGUCCGGAUUUAUUGGGCGUAAAGCGAGUGCAGGCGGUUCAAUAAGUCUGAUGUGAAAGCCUUCGGCUCAACCGGAGAAUUGCAUCAAAAACUGUUGAACUUGAGUGCAGAAGAGGAGAGUGGAACUCCAUGUG
rnacentral:rRNA from 1 species